rnacentral:rRNA from 1 species
AACGUAGGUUCCGAGCGUUAUCCGGAUUUACUGGGCGUAAAGCGUGUUCAGGCGGUUUAGCAAGUCGGGCAUGAAAUCUCUCGGCUCAACCGGGAGGGGCUGUCCGAAACUGCUAGACUUGAGGGCAAUAGAGGGUGGUGGAAUUCCGGGUGUAGUGGUGAAAUGCGUAGAGAUCCGGAGGAACACCAGUGGCGAAAGCGGCCACCUGGAUUGCACCUGACGCUCAAACACGAAAGCUAGGGGAGCGAACGGG